GACGAACGCUGGCGGCGUGCUUAACACAUGCAAGUCGAACGGUGAUGCUCCAGCUUGCUGGAGUGGAUCAGUGGCGAACGGGUGAGUAACACGUGAGCAACCUGCCCCAGACUCUGGAAUAAGCGCUGGAAACGGCGUCUAAUACUGGAUACGAAACUGGCCCGCAUGGGCAUGGUUUGGAAAGUUUUUCGGUUUGGGAUGGGCUCGCGGCCUAUCAGCUUGUUGGUGAGGUAAUGGCUCACCAAGGCGACGACGGGUAGCCGGCCUGGGAGGGCGACCGGCCACACUGGGACUGAGACACGGCCCAGACUCCUACGGGAGGCAGCAGUGGGGAAUAUUGCACAAUGGGCGAAAGCCUGAUGCAGCGACGCCGCGUGAGGGAUGACGGCCUUCGGGUUGUAAACCUCUUUCAGCAGGGAAGAAGCGAAAGUGACGGUACCUGCAGAAGAAGCACCGGCUAACUACGUG
rnacentral:rRNA from 1 species